GACCUUGAAAUACCACCCUUUAAUGUUUGAUGUUCUAACGUGGACCCGUUACCCGGGUUGCGGACAGUGUCUGGUGGGUAGUUUGACUGGGGCGGUCUCCUCCUAAAGAGUAACGGAGGAGCACGAAGGUUGGCUAAUCCUGGUCGGACAUCAGGAGGUUAGUGCAAUGGCAUAAGCCAGCUUGACUGCGAGCGUGACGGCGCGAGCAGGUGCGAAAGCAGGUCAUAGUGAUCCGGUGGUUCUGAAUGGAAGGGCCAUCGCUCAACGGAUAAAAGGUACUCCGGGGAUAACAGGCUGAUACCGCCCAAGAGUUCAUAUCGACGGCGGUGUUUGGCACCUCGAUGUCGGCUCAUCACAUCCUGGGGCUGAAGUAGGUCCCAAGGGUAUGGCUGUUCGCCAUUUAAAGUGGUACGCGAGCUGGGUUUAGAACGUCGUGAGACAGUUCGGUCCCUAUCUGCCGUGGGCGCUGGAGAACUGAGGGGGGCUGCUCCUAGUACGAGAGGACCGGAGUGGACGCAUCACUGGUGUUCGGGUUGUCAUGCCAAUGGCACUGCCCGGUAGCUAAAUGCGGAAGAGAUAAGUGCUGAAAGCAUCUAAGCACGAAACUUGCCCCGAG
rnacentral:rRNA from 1 species